GCGCUCGUAGCUCAGUUGGAUAGAGCACAUGCCUUCUAAGCCUGUUGUCGGGAGUUCGAAUCUCUCCGAGCGCGCCA
rnacentral:tRNA from 1 species